rnacentral:rRNA from 1 species
UGUCUCCUUUUUCUGAUCAGUAAAACUAAUCUCCCCGUGAAGAAGCGGAGAUAUAAAUAUAAGACGAGAAGACCCCAUGGAGCUUAAAACCCAACUACACCCUUAAUUAUUAUACCUUUUAUAACCUCUAAGGCCCUGUAUAACUGGUUUUAGGUUGGGGCGACCACGGAGAACAACAAAACCUCCACAAUGAAUGGGACCACCCCCUUAUCUAAGAGCAACCGCUCUAAGAAUUAAAAUAUUAACAUAAAAUGAUCCAUUUUUUGAUCAAUGAACCAAGUUACCCUGGGGAUAACAGCGCAAUCCAUUUCAAGAGCCCAUAUCGACAAAUGGGUUUACGACCUCGAUGUUGGAUCAGGGUGUCCCAGUGGUGCAGCAGCUACUAAUGGUUCGUUUGUUCAACGAUUAAAANNG